AUUGAACGCUGGCGGCAGGCCUAACACAUGCAAGUCGAGCUAGCGGCGGACGGGUGAGUAAUGUCUGUGAAACUGCCUGAUGGAGGGGGAUAACUACUGGAAACGGUAGCUAAUACCGCAUACCAUCAGAUGUGCCCAGAUGGGAUUAGCUAGUAGGUUGGGUAACGGCUCACCUAGGCGACGAUCCCUAGCUGGUCUGAGAGGUUGACCAGCCACACUGGAACUGAGACACGGUCCAGACUCCUACGGGAGGCAGCAGUGGAGAAUAUUGCACAAUGGGCGAAAGCCUGAUGCAGCCAUGCCGCGUGUGUGAAGAAGGCCUUCGGGUUGUAAAGCAAUUUCAGCGGGGAGGCGUUACCCGAAGAAGAAGCACCGGCUAACUCCGUGCCAGCAGCCGCGGUAAUUC
rnacentral:rRNA from 1 species